UCAUGUUCCACUGUAUUAUAAGUGUUGUCUUUGCCGAAAUAGCUCCAUGAGAGUUUCACGUACAUCUUUUUCUUUAUUUUCUUGUUUCUUUAUUUUGUAAGUUUUUGUAAUUUUGUAAAGAACUUAUGAUAUUCAGAAAAGGGUUUUAAUAUUUUGAAAAAUCUAUGUAAAUAAAAAUUUGUGAAGUUGAUGUUAACCUAUUUUAUUAUAUGUCCUGCUAUAUCAAUAGAUUAUUCAUUUUGUUCUUCUGUUUUUUUGUAUUAGUAGAAAAUGCUAUUAUAAUAGUAUUAGAGAUUAAAUAAACCAAGUGAACUUCAAAUAUGAAGAAAAACAACAGAUAAGAUGUGAUGGGCUGCAAAUAAUGUUUUGAUGUUUUGUACAUUUUUAAAUAGUUUAAGUUUUAUAAUAUAGAUGAUAUUAUUUUGAUUAUCUGCUUAAAAUAUAGUAAAAUUAGUAGUUAAGGGCAACAUAUUUCUAGUUCGCUUUAGGCGCCUGAGGAAUCCGGACCGGCACUGACCACGAGUAACGCAAACCAACAGAAAAAAAAACAGUUAAAAGCCUAAAGUAAAUAUAAAUACAUAUAGAUGAAUAUUGCUUUGGGUCGUUCAGUUUGGUUCGGUUCAUUUUUUUGUCCACCCUCAGGCCUUAGUUAUAAGAGCAUAAUAAGCCUUGUCUGAUCCGGUUUAAUUUAAGCCUGGUUCGAAUCCGGUUGAGCCGUGCGCCAGUUACAAGGUUCGGUUAACAUUGUAGCAAGGAGUAUAUAUUACUUUAACAAAUCAGAUCAAUUACUUGUGAUAUACAAUAAAAUAAAAUGAAUAGAAUUUUAUAACAACAAAGACGUCCUUCAAUUCUUCACUCUCUAUGCAGCAAAGCACUCUUUAGGAAGACCUUGAGGGAAUCUCUUCGUAUCCGUGCAAUAGUUGUAGAUCAUGUAGUUCUUCUGCACCCAUCUCAUCCUUUCUUGAGCCGUAGAGUCAAGCUCCUGCGACAGCCACGAGCCAGUGGUCCCCUGUCCCGAGCCAUUAGGACAAGACGACUUGCCGUUUGACCAAACACAAGCUUCUUGGUUAAAGCCACGGUAGGAAGCAGUGAAAGGAGCUUUAGACCAAUCGGUUUUGACCAAACCACCUCUCGUGGCCCAAUCAUCAGCGUUCCAAAGACUGGAAUACAUUCUCAUUGGUUGGUUCUUAGGAAAUAGAGUACCAACAGAUUCCAUGUUUUUGAAUUCUCUAAUGGGAGUUCCAUCGACUGUGAAAAUGAUUCGUUGUGGGUUCCAGAGAAUGGUGUAAGUGUGGAAAUCAGCUGUUGGGUCGAACCAGAGUUUGAACUGCUGUUCUUUGUCUCCUUUGCCUUGUGUGUAUACAUUUGUGUGAAGUGUGUAAGGAUCUCCACUUAGGUUCCCUAAGAACUCGAAGUCAAUCUCGUCCCAUGUGGUUCCUGGUGAUUUCAACUGUAACGAAAAACUAAUUUUAGUAACAAGAACUUCAAAAUGUAACAAAAGAAAAAUAAACGUGGUUAUGUAACUUACGUAGAGUGUUGUGACUGUUCCUGCGGAGUUACCAGGGACGAGUUUCAUCUGCAUGUCGAUUUUACCGAACAAGUACUCGUUCUUGGACUGGAAACCAGAGCCAGAUGAUUUGUCUAGAGACAAAGUGAGAAGCUCUCCAUUGUUUGUGAUCUGUCCACGUCCAUCUCCCCAUGUGAUCUCAACGUCUCUUUGGAAAUUAGCUGAAACAGAGGAGAUGACUAUAAGAGAAAUAAACAGAGGAAGGAAGUAACUGUGUGCCAUUUUGAGAGAUUUAUCUAUGUUUCUUGUGUUCUUGUGACUUGUGUUGCGUUUGUUUUGUGGUUUUGAGGGUUUAUGGAAUAGUCUAUUUAUACUAGUAGUAGUAAUAGUAGACUAAUACUCCAGCAAAGGUUUAAUAAGAGGAAGGUUCGUAUGGUGAAAGAGGUAGCCGCGGUCUGUGAGGCAACAGCUGGAGAUUGGGCCAUCUUUGUAGUAAAAGCUGUAUUCAAUUGGCUUUGGAGUUCACGCGGUUUUUUAAAUAACGUUUUUAAUUAAAAACAUGUUUAAUAUUAUUUGUUUUUGCUUUCAAAUUAAAUUGGAUCUUUACAAUCAAAAAGCUGCAUUUGGGAGUUGGAUACUUUUUUUUUUACCACCGGCUUAGACCGACAUUGACAGAGAAAAAGGUUUUCUCUAAUAGAACCAAGAGAUUCUGUUAUAACAAAAGAUAGAAAGUAAAAAGAUGUUUAAGAAAAUUAAUUAGAAUAUGAUAAUCUAUGAGUUUUAUUUUUUCUAUAGUUCAGUUAUCUUGGUUCUGUUAUUCUUAUUCCUGACUAUUAUUAUGAUAUAUGCAAAUUUAAAAUUAAGUUAAGGUGAGAGUAUUUAUUCCCAUCGCCACAUAACAAAUGUAGAGUGGUUAAGAAAAGAGGAUAAGGAUCCAUAUUGUAUUUGUUUUCUAAAUAAAUUGAUCGAUUCAAAUUUAAAGCAGUGGGGACAAGAGAGAUUGCCACGUUGAAGGAAUAAGAUAGUUGUUGGGUAAAUCAUCACUAUGACUGACUCAAAUAUUUUGAUUUUGUGGUGGAGACAGCUAAGACACUCAAGUUGAUGGCGGUCGUGGUCCCGAAGUUUCGUAAUACAAAUUGCUAGAUCCUCAGCGCAGUCCGAACUCUUGCGCAAACUCUAGAAAUCUAAAUUCGAUCAAAACCGUGUGCAGAAUACACGAAAAGAACGUGUGAUGGUCGUAGGUCCAGAAGUUUCUUAGUCAUAAUUUUUCAGAUGUAUAUGAUAUAACUCAUUUUCUUAUUUUCGGUUUAGAAUUCUUCAUUUAUUGUAAAUAAAUUGAAAUUUACAUGUAUGAUUUUUCAAAUGAUUAAAAUUCCUUGUAACAUCAUAUACUUUUACUUGUUUCACUUUUAGUGGGCUUAAAUUAAGGACGCGGAGUUACCCGUUUGGUUUGCAGAGUAUAUAUGAAUCUAUUUUAAAUUGCUGACAAAAAAAUCAAAAAAGCAUGUUUAAAAUAAUAGUGCCUAUUUAAACCAAGACUUUUUCUGAAGAUUAACCUUUGAGAUUCUGAAGAUUAACCUUGCACUCAAAGGUUAGUCUUGAUUCUCUAGACUCUAGUUGACUUGCUCUCAAAUGUUUUAUUUAAGUCUUCGACUCUCUUAUUGGUAUGCGAAUGUUUGGGUUCACAUAUUGUUUGCUAGAUGCUAGAGCUUUGCUUGAGCUUCCUAUUAAAAUGGUAGACUCAAUACUAGACAUGGAUAUUUCUUUCCCACUUAUGGUUGGACAGUUUUGUUAUCUACUAUUACAGAUUCAGAAACUGAAAAUGAAUUGGUCAUUGUCUUUGACAGGUUUCCAUUUAAAGACAGAACAUAAACCCCAACCGUUGUAAACGCACGGAUAAUGAUGGAAAAUCUUUGAAUCUCCCGUGGAAAUUAUGCUCUCACUCACUCAGAGCUGUCAAUUCUAAUGGUAAAGAAUUAUGUUCCCAUGGUAGAUAUGUCAAGCUCUUUGAUAAAAAAAAGAUAUGUCGAUUGUCAAGUUCAAAUCAAAUCAAUAAUGAAAAAUGGAUUUAACAAUCGGUUCUCAUCUCUAAUCCAAAAAAAUUAUGGGUUUUGAUCCGAAAUUUCUUACAAUAAAAAAACACUAUGCUUUCAGCUAGACAUUUUAAAUGUGUCGAACCAAGAACUUUCGUUAUUGUCCUUCCAUAUGUUGCUCUAUUUUCUCACAAGACAAACACACCAUAAUUGAUAUUUUCUUAUUGUCUAACAUAACUAUAAUAUUUAAUCACCAUGAUUAUAAAAUAAAAUAUACUAGUGAAAAAAUAUUCAACAAAAUGUAAUUACCCUUUUAGCAAAAAAAAAAACAAAAUGUAAUUACCGUUUAUUUAUUAAUCGAGAAUCAUAAUAACAUAUGAAUGAUGUCAUGUGUCAUUACUACGAUAAUUCUUAAAAUAAUUAGAGAAAUAAGUUAGUCCAUCUAAAUAUAUUAAAUUUUUUCAUUAAAAAUAAACAUAAAUUAAUUAGUAAUUUACACAAAAAAACUAUUAAUUUCUUAAAUAAAAGGUACAAAAUUAUUUAAUAUGAUUAAAUAUAUAUGAAAUUAGUGAUUCUGAAUAAUAAAAAAUUGAUAACAAUUUGUGUGUAAUCUAUCAAUUUCGUUUAAUUUAGUUAUAAAAAUUAAACUUUGUUGUAUAUGUUAUACUUUGGAUUUUUUUUUUAAAUUACUUAAAUUAAUAAAACUGUUAAUAGUCUUACAUUAAAAUUUUUGUGCUCAAUGGUUUUAAUAUUUUGCUAUAACAAGAUACAAAUGAUCAUAAAACAAUUUGGGUAAUAAAUUUGAUUUAAUAGAUAUUCAAAUUGAAAAUAUGUAUCUAUUUUAGUAUAGUUUAAAUUAAUAUAUAUACCAUAUAAAAUAAAUUAUUAUUAUUAUUAUUAUUAUUUUCAUUAUUAUUAUUUCAAAAAAUUUAAAAUAUGUAUCAUAUUUGAAUUUAUAAAAAUUAGAAAAUUUUAUAAUUUAAUUUAAUUUAAUCAAAUCAUUAAUAUAUAUUUUACAUAUCUUUUGUUAUUAUUUUAAAGUAAUAAUAAAAAUUAUCUACUUAACAAAUAUUUUAUUAAAUAUCUUACUCCUUGAGAAGUGCAUAUUAUCUGUUCUAUAAAAACUGAAGUACAAAACAUAACUUGCCUAAUUUUUAAUGAAUUUUUAAAUCUUUUUCAUUUCUUUUUAAACUAAUUUUAACCACUUUAUUUAUUGUCUUUUCUAAAUAAUUUGACAACAUUUAUUACAUAAAUUUAAAAUAGAAUAUGUCUAUUUUAAGUGUUUUACAUUCAAUUUUUAACUCUUCAUAACUACUUCAUUAAUUAUUUUUAUAAUGAUAAUUCAAGAUCAUUUAUUUUAUGUGUCAACCAUAAUAAUUAUACAGAUUUGAAUACAAUUGCUCCAUUCGUCGCAAGAAUUCAAUCUGGUUAAGAAAUAAUUUUUAUUUGUUUACAUAUAUGCAUGAGUAUUUACUACUCCUUCCGUUUCUGAAUAAGUGUCAUUUUGACAUUUUUCACACAUAUUAAGAAAAUGACAGAAAUAUAUGUAAGUUAUUAUUAAUUAUACUUUCUGACCAAUAGUAUUUGAGAUAAAUAAAAUUAUUUAUAAAAUCAAUGCAGUUUUCAAUUAAAUUUCAGCUGAAAGUAAGUAUAAUUUGCAUUGAAAUUGUAAAGUGACAUUUUUUUUGUAACAAGAAAAAAAUAUUAAAAUGACAUUUAUUAUGAAACAGAGGGAAUACUAUUUAGGUAUCCAUGUGGGUACGAAUCGGUUCUUUCAAGUAUCAUGAUAUUUUAGUCUUAAAAUUAUGCUAUGUUUGAAUAUUAUAAAUUUAUGGGCGGAGUCAAGUCGGGUCUUUUUGGAUUCGGAUGAGUUUGGUUAUGAUGCGUAGAAACCUAAAAGUAUUCAAAUAACCUAUAUGUUUAGAAAUAUCUUUAAACAAUUUAUAAAACAGAAAGACUUAACACGAAAGGAUGUGCGGAUCAAGUUCUAAUUAUCUAUCUUAUUAAAACUGAAGUACAAAAUGAGAUUGUUUGGAAACAUGUAUAUGAGUUUAAAAAAUAAGAGUGUUUGGUAACAUGGAUUGUAGUCUUUUAAAAAAAUAUUACCUUUGUUUGGAAAUAAAGAUAGUAGUAUUUAGCAAAAAAAGUAAUGAACUUAUGUUAUUAAGAAAAAUUGAAAGUCCAUCAUAUUAUAAAAAAUUAUCUAUUUGGGUCAGUUUUAAAAUGAGUCAAAUCAUUUAAACUUUUUUUUCAAAACUAACCAUAAAACAAAAUUUAAACUUUAUAUACAUAUUUCAAAUCAAAAUAAUAAUUCAAAAUUGAUUUACAUCAUAAAUUAAUUGAAAAAUAUACAUAUAUUCAAAAAUGAAUUUUUACUAAACUCUUUUUCAAUAACCAUUACUUUUGUUUGAAAACAAGGAUAGUAUUAUUAAGCAAAAAAGUAAUGGACUUAUGUUAUUAAGAAAAAUUGAAAGUACAUCAUAUUAUAAAAAACUAUCUAUUUGAGCCAGUUUUAAAAUGAGUCAAUCUAAUUGCCUAAAACUUUUUUUUCUAAACUAACCAUAAAACAAAAUUUAAACUUUAGAUACAUAUUUCAAAUCAAAAUAAUAAUUCAAAAUUGAUUUAUAUCAUAAAUUGAUUGAAAAAUAUACAUAUAUUCAAAAAUGGAUUUUUACUAAACUAUUUUUCAAUAACCAUUAUAAAAAAUGUUGUCAACAUAUAUAUAAGAAAAAUACAAUACGAAGCCCAAUUUGAAAUACCAACUAAAAUUAUGGUUUUUAUAUUUCAUAUUAAGUUUGAAAAAUAUAAUAUAUGUAAUUAUUUAUAUGAUGGUACAUAUAAAAUACGAUUAAUUAUAUGAUGACAAUAUACGAUACAUAAUAAUGACUAGGGAUGGACUUUCGGUUACCCAUACGAGUUUGGUUCUGAUCGAUUUGCAUUUCAGAUUUCCGGGGUCAAAGAUUUCAGCCCUAUUAGGAUGUUUCUAAAUUUUGGUUUGAGUGUGAUUCAGACCUUUGCGGGUUUGGUUCGAGUUUGGAUCCAUUUAAAUUAUUUUUAAAGGUUUAAAUCAUUAUAUAUUUUAAAUUUCUCAAAAUCUAUAAAUAAAAUAAUAUAUUUCCUAUAAAUUUAAAUAAGAUAUGUCAGAAUACCUAAGCUUAACAUAUCAAUUGGCAUUUAAAAUUUUUGGAUACAAAAUCAAUAAAUAUUUUAAGUAUUUUUGGUGAUUUGAGUAUACUUUAACUAUUUCAGAUAUUUACUUUUGACUAUCUAUAUAUAUUUUCAAGUAUUUAAACCAAUUUAAAAGUAUAAUUCUUGAUGUUUUAUAUACGUUAAAUCUAAAUAUAAUUAAAUAUAUAAGUAUCCGAAUACUUCGGUUCGGAUCAGAUUUGGAUCUCUAAAUAACAAAACUUUGAAUAAUUUGAAUAUUUAAUCAAUUUAUGUUCGGGUUUGGUACUAUAUUUUCGGAUCGGUCUCGGGUCUGUUCCUCGGAUUCAUUUUGCCAAACCCUAAUAAUUACAUGAAAAACAAAUAUCAACAUAUUUUUCAAAAUAUACAUCCGCGCAGGCGCGCAGAUUAAAUAUUAACAUAUUUUUCAAAAUAUUUUGCUAUCAAUUUUGGUUCGGGUUUGGUAUUACACUUUCAGAUCAAGAUCGGUUUCGUUCUUCAGAUUUUGAUUUUUUUCAAGCACUAAUAUUAACAUAAAAAACAAGUAGCAAAAUAUUUUUGAAAAAUACACCCGCGCGGGUGCGCGGGUUAAAAUCUAGUUACUGUUAAAACUAAAGUACAAAACAAUACUUGCCUAUUUUAAGUGAUUUCUUACAUCUUUUUAAUUCAUUUUUCUUUUACUUUUAACUACUUCAUUUAUUGUCUUUUCCAAAUGAUUCAACAUCAUUUAUUACAAAAGUACAGAACAAAACUUACCUAUUUUAAUUGUUUUAUUAUAUUUUUUACAUUUUAUUAUUAUUUCAAACUACUUUAUUAAUUGUAUUUAACAUAAUAAUUUGACGUCAUUUAUUUUACGUGUUAACCAUAAUAAUUUCACGUAUUUGAAUGAAAUUGAUCCUGAUAAGAAUCAAAUCGGUUAACAAUUUUUUUUGUUGUUUACAUAAUUAUUUAAAUUUGGACACUCAUGUACACGUUUGGAUACGGAUCGGUUUUCUCAAGAAUAUAUUUUUUUAGAUUUUAAAUUAAAUUUCAGUCGGGUAUUAUAAAUUUAUUCAGAUUCUACAUAGUUCAAACUAAAAAUAUCGAAAUAAUCUAUGUUUAGAAAUGUCUUAACCAUCCGUACCGAUGCGCACAUCAUGCUCUAGUGUAGAUUAAAACAUAAGCCUAAUUAUGCAAAUGAAGAGGGCACAAAGUAAGGCAGACAAUAAGUUAAAAAGAUAUUGUAAUAGAAUAUAUUACUUUGACGAAUAAGUACACUACAAACAAAUCAAUAGAAUUUUUAAUAACAAAAAGAAAAAGUAGAAUUUUGUUCCUUUCUCAACUCUUCACUCUCUAUGCAGCAAAGCACUCUUUAGGAAGACCUUGAGGGAAUCUCUUCGUAUCCGUGCAAUAGUUGUAGAUCAUGUAGUUCUUCUGCACCCAUCUCAUCCUUUCUUGAGCCGUAGAGUCAAGCUCCUGCGACAGCCACGAGCCAGUGGUCCCCUGUCCCGAGCCAUUAGGACAAGACGACUUGCCGUUUGACCAAACACAAGCUUCUUGGUUAAAGCCACGGUAGGAAGCAGUGAAAGGAGCUUUAGACCAAUCGGUUUUGACCAAACCACCUCUCGUGGCCCAAUCAUCAGCGUUCCAAAGACUGGAAUACAUUCUCAUUGGUUGGUUCUUAGGAAAUAGAGUACCAACAGAUUCCAUGUUUUUGAAUUCUCUAAUGGGAGUUCCAUCGACUGUGAAAAUGAUUCGUUGUGGGUUCCAGAGAAUGGUGUAAGUGUGGAAAUCAGCUGUUGGGUCGAACCAGAGUUUGAACUGCUGUUCUUUGUCUCCUUUGCCUUGUGUGUAUACAUUUGUGUGAAGUGUGUAAGGAUCUCCACUUAGGUUCCCUAAGAACUCGAAGUCAAUCUCGUCCCAUGUGGUUCCUGGUGAUUUCAACUGUAACGAAAAACUAAUUUUAGUAACAAGAACUUCAAAAUGUAACAAAAGAAAAAUAAACGUGGUUAUGUAACUUACGUAGAGUGUUGUGACUGUUCCUGCGGAGUUACCAGGGACGAGUUUCAUCUGCAUGUCGAUUUUACCGAACAAGUACUCGUUCUUGGACUGGAAACCAGAGCCAGAUGAUUUGUCUAGAGACAAAGUGAGAAGCUCUCAAUUGUACAAACGCGCCCACGCGCCCCUCUUCGUGCGACCUAGAAAGCGAAACCUAAAACCUUAAUUCGAUCUCGUCUCUCGUCGGCUCAGCCGUUGACGCCUCCUCCUUCCGGUGAAUCACCAAGCUAUUACCGGCGGGGAACUCUCUCGAUCAACUCCUCUCACAUCUCCGGCGAUCUCUCAUCAUGGAGCCUCUUGAGACUCUACGUUCCGGAAUCGAAGGUGUUAAUGGUGAAGAGGAUCAAGUGGAGGUUCAGACCAACAUCAUCUCUGACUCAGGAACUAGGAUCUCUUGCAAGGAGAAGAUUAACACCCUGAACUCCGACAAGCUUCAAGUCCCUUUGACGGUCACGCCUGACUCUUCUUUACCAACUUCUUGUGCUUUUGGAGAAGCAUCAACGGAGGUGGGCCACACGAUUUCAAAAGCUACUUCUUCUGUGCUCGCGGGUCCUGCUUUGCCUCAGCCUCAGCUCCAAGGAGCUUGGACUAAACCGCUGUUAAUAACUGGAGCUACAGAAAGUUCAACUUUGUUUUCUGAUAGCCCUGCAGCGGAAAACUCUGAAUGGCCGGCUCUUUCAACCAGGGAUAUAGGUAGGAAGAAGAAUCAGUCUUCCGUAGACAGAACAAAGGCUGUGCAACAAACGAAACGAGUUGAUUCUUCCUCGACUCAAAGAGUAAAGCUUCCUACUGAUAAGACCCGGUUUCCUUGGGCUGCUCGAAUGAACCCACAAACAAGGAAUCUCCAUCGCGUGACAGUACCCGAAUAUAUGGAGGAUGGCACUCCUAAGGUAACUAUUCCGGAUCAUGUACUACUCCAUGGUUUACAAAACCAUAGGGAAUAUGUGAUAGGACAGUUUUACCGCUGUCUGGUACCAUCUGGUGGGUUAGUGUAUGCUGUUCUGAAUAGGAUUUGGGGUAGAAAAUGUGAGAUUUUCGUCAGGAAGAUUAGUGAAUUCUCUUAUAUCUUCCACAUCCCAGAUGAAUCUACUAGAAAAUUUGUUCUCCAGCGUAGCUUAUGGCAUGUGGAUGAUUGCCUCAUGUUUGUUGCUCCUUGGACUUCUUCGGAAACUUUAACCCUUCCUGAAAUUUCAUCAAUUCCGAUUUGGGUCACGCUCAAAAACAUCCCCAGCACUCUAUAUUCCAUCCUAGGAAUCGAAUGGAUUGCUUCAGGAGUAGGAGAACCAAUGUUAUCUUACAAACCGUGGUUAGAUCCAACUAUGAUAGGAGAAGCUAAGAUUAUGGUGGAAGUUGAGUUAGAUAAACCUUUCCCACAGAAAGUUGCUGCUUGGGAUAAGCAAGGGAACUUUUCUUUGGUUGAUGUGGAAUACUCUUGGCUUCCUACAUCCUGUGAGAUAUGUGGUCAGAUUGGUCAUAAAUCAAGGAGAUGUUUGUCUAUUUCUGGUCUUAAGGCAGCUACACCAGCUACUAAGAGAAAGGAUUCAGUAGUCGCCCAUGUCUUUGCAUCUGCUGAUGCUUCACCACCCGAAAUGAAUAUUCAGAAGGUCAUUGAGGUCUCUUCAGAAACAUCACAGGAAGCUGCUGUGGCUAAAAGAGAUGCAACACUUUCAGAUAUUCCAAUCCCUUCUCAAAUUAAAGAAGCUAUGUCAAUGGCAACGGUACAAGCAUCUAACUCUCAGCAAUAUAUUUCGCAUGCUCCUGUUUCAGAUAAGCCAGCUACACCAAAAGAAGAUACAUCUUGCAUUUGUGAUGAGGUGAUCGACAAGAUUAAUUCUACUGAUGUGGAUGAUCUAGUUUCUUUAGCUACUGUUUCAGUGCUAGAGAACUUGUACGAGUCACCAACAGUUAUUUGUGUCAAUGAAACAAUUGAGUCUUCCCCUACGGAGUCUGCCCCAACAAAGCAACAUAUAGAGUCUUCCAUCACUCAAACCUCAACCGAGGUUAGCAAGGAAAGUAUCAGAAUGCAGGAGAUUGAUUUGGGCUCAAAUCAGUUUGCCUCUUUAACUUCCUUAGAAGGAGAAGAAGAAUAUCAAUUGGAUUUGGAUGAAAGUUCUGGUCCAAUAGACAUUUUGACACCUUUGGGGAAAAGACUCCUUCGUGAAAGACCUGUUAAACCCUCGGCAAAAGGUAUGGAAUGGCAAUUGCAAUCCUCGUCUCGCGGGCGAGGAAAUAGAGGACGUGGAAAUCGUGGGAAACUACGGUAGAAGCGACUUUUACCCCUCUCUAAAGUCAACCAAAGUAAUGCUUUGGUAGUCUCUUGUUUAACUAUGUUUAUUGCAUGUUACAAUCUUCUCUUGAAACUGUAUGACUUCAGUCAUAGCCUACUAUGUAACCGUCUUUUCAAAUAAAAGUAAAAAAAAAAAAAAAAAAAAAAAAAAAAAAAAAAAAAAAAAAAAGUGAGAAGCUCUCCAUUGUUUUUGAUCUGUCCACGUCCAUCUCCCCAUGUGAUCUCAACGUCUCUUUGGAAAUUAGCUGAAACAGAGGAGAUGACUAUAAGAGAAAUAAACAGAGGAAGGAAGUAACUGUGUGCCAUUUUGAGAGAUUUAUCUAUGUUUCUUGUGUUCUUGUAUUGGAUUUUUAGAAUGUGAUGUUUGAGGGUUUAUGGAUGGAUGGAUGUAUAUAUAGUAGUAGUAAAGGUUUGAGAUUUGAGAGGAGGUUCGAAAGAGGAAGGUUCAUAUGGUGAAAGACGAAGCCGUGUUUAAGGCAACAGCUGGGGUUGGGCCAUCUUUGUAGUAAAAGCUGUGUUUAAAAUUGGCUUUGGAGCUCACGCGGUUUUUUAAAUAAUGUUUCUUUUUAUUAUCUGAUAAUAAAUUUUACAUUUAAGGGUUUUUUGUGUCAGAUUAUUUUAUUGGAUUUGGGAGUUUUGCUAUAAAAAGAGAAGUUCAAUACGUUACCACCGGCUUGGACCGACUUUGAUAGGUAAAGAGUUUUCCUCUAAUAGAACCAAGAGAUUCUGUUAAUCCAAAAGAAAUAACAAUAUGUUUGUUUUAAGAAAGUUCAUUAGAAUGCUGACAAAAAGAAAACGUAACUAGGAUAAGGUAGAUUUAUGAGUUCUAGGUUUUAAUUGGUGAUUCUAAAUUUUUCUUUUUUACCAAUUACACAACCAUGGUUCAUAAAUCAUGACUAUCUUGAUUUUGUUACAUGUACUAUUUUGGGGUAGGGAUAUAUAUAACUUACUGUAGACGAAAUUGAAACUUAUUUAAUUUGCGUAUUUAUUUUCAAUGCCACAACAAAUUUAGAGUAGUUUUAAGAAAAUAUGAAGAUCGAACUAUAUUUAAAGUUUUUAUUUUUAAAUUUAAAUUAAAAUUUUAAGCAAGAUGAAGAAGAGGAACACGUUGAAGGGAUAAGGUAGUUGUUGGGUAAAAUUAUUAAUUUGACUGACUCAAAUGUUGGAUGUAGUGACAUAGUCAGUCAGGGACAGCUAAGCAGACACUCAAGUUGAUGUAGCGGUCGUGGUCUGGAAGUUUCUUGGUCCAAGACUCCUAGUGGCUAAAUUAGAUCAAAUGUCUGUUCCUGUGAACGAAAUUAGAUCAAAUCUACCUCCCAAAAUCCAAAUAAAUCUAAACUAAAUUUUUAGUCAUCAAAUGUGUUAAUUAUUACCAUUAAAAAUCCUGGUCAGAUGGUUAAAAAUUCCCAGAACACAACCAACUAAUAAUCAAGCACGAAUCAUAGAAACAUAACACUGGUCUUUAGUGGAACACAAGUCUACUUGAGAAUCAAAAAAAGAAGAAAAAAAGACAUAGAUUCUACUUGUUAAGACUGCAAAAUCAGUUCUUAAGAAUGCUACUGUCUAAAUGAGUCGAUCAAACAUAUUAGAAGUCUCCUGCUUCAUAAACACAACACAUCCACUGAAUCUAUCUGUACACUCCUUUUAUACAAUACCUGUGUCACUUCACCUCCAUUCGCGCUGCUGCUGCCUUGUGGCCUUCAAGAUUCAGUUUCCAGUUGGUAAACACUGUUUUGAGUCAGUAGUGUUGUUACCAUCAUCAUGAAGGUAUGAUACGAUCAUGAUGAAGAAGGACCAGACUAUUCUUCGUCAUCAUCAUCCAGCUCUACAAUCUGUGCACGCCUCUCAGCAGCUUUCCUCCUGAUGAAGAAACCCCAUCUCAUUGCUGCCUUUAUCUUAAGCCACCCAACAACAGCUCUGCCUGAUCGACCACGGUCUUCAUCAUAACCUUGCAUAGGCGUGUGUAGAAACGACGGGAAAGUAUACCCAUCUUCCUGCAAAUGUGAAGCAGAGCCAUUACCUCCUCCCCCUCCUCCUCCCAUGCUGAAUAGGCGGAGGAACUGUUGCAUGUCCUCGUUCUCCAGCAUUUCGUGGCUUCUCAGACGGAUCUCUUCCUCUGAGAAGAACUCUUCCGCUCCUCUCUCGCGGUGGUUCGACCAGUCUUCAAAAGGAUUGAGAUUUGCCUGUUGGACUGAAGAAGAGUUGAUGUUUUGGUACCCACUCGUGGAUGCCUGUGGAGGACCGAGAGCAAGCAUACCGUUCAUGUUUUGAUUGUUCAUGGAGCUUUGACCCUGAUGUAGAUUUCCCAUGAGCUGAUCCUGCGCUGUUCCGCCUGAAGCAACCUCAAACUGUGCUCUCGGGUUGGAGACUAGAAGCUGGGGAUACGGAGGAUACCUUGUCGCCAUAGUUUGAUCAUACCCUGCAGAAUUGAACAAACUUAUAAGAUUUAGUACAGUAACACAAUUUUUAUGGGAGUGACAGCAAUUCACAAACCUCCAAUAGCAAAAUCUGAAAGCACUGGAGGUUGAUUAGCUGGCACUGAGGAUGAUUGCCCUGCCAUCUGCAUUGGAUGGUUAAUGGCAGCAGUUGAGUAAUUAGCUUCAUCAGCUUGAGUAAUACCCAAUCUCUGAGGCUGCUUCAUGUCUAUGAGAGAUUUUCCAUCAUACUCUAUGACUAAGUUCCAGUUGUCAUAUGCUUUCUUCACCAGCCCAUCAACAUAUACCUUCAGAACACAGAAGUGAAAAACAGAAUUGAAAUUUGUUAUAUAUCUCUCCCUUCAGUGACUUUGAAAGAAUGCAGUUCAAACACAGCUAAUUAACAUUGAAUCAAUACAGAAGAUAGUUGUGAAUCAUAGCUUAACUAGACCAUAAGUUGCAGUUUAAAUAAAGGGUGUUUCAAGAGAAAGGAACAUGCAGCAAACCUUUUGGCUUUCAGUAAGUGAAUCAGCAGAGUAGUAUUGGUCCCCGGAUAUGAGACCACUUAGCUCAUAGAUAUUAUUGAACACAACGCCGACAUUCCUCGAAUCCUCAGCAUAGUAGAUAUAAAGCUUACCGCUCAGGACACACGUCUUCGCGUGCUCUACUAGUGCAUCCCACAUUUUGUUUGACAUUCCACUUCCGAGAAUCUAUAUAAACAAGGAUACAUAUAAAAUUAUCCAUGGCUUUAUAUAAACUCAACGAAUAGUAUCUUUCACGCGCACAAAAAUUGACAAUAAAAGCACUUACAGUACGUAAUUUUGCAGAAUCUCUGACCAUUGUUCUCAGAAAGUCUUCUACAGUGAAUAUUCUUGCAGCGUUUAGCUUCUUAUGGAAUGCACCAUCCUUACCAAUCUUCUCCAGUCUCCACACGUCAUCAUUCAGAGCAGGAGGAUAAUGCUUCUUGUACACUGCACAUAAACAAAAUGUGAAUCAAACUAAAAGAAGUAAACACCAUACCGUACACUGAGAACAAAUAGAAGUAGAAACUUUUAAGAUCAUACAUUCGCCCCUGUGAUCUUUAACAAUGAAAGCUUCAGUCUUUGCCUCACGUAUGCGCAUGCCAUCACAACACCCAGAAGAAACCCUUAAACCAAGCCUGAACUUCCUACUCCGAAUCCAACUCGAGUUAUCGGUGAAAACCAGCUCGCCCAAAGUUCCAACCCCUUCCUUGAGAGUAACAUACAAAUCUCCAGUCAGCAACGGUCUCUUUCCUUGACGCUCUUUCACGACAUGGCUUUCGAAUUCUUCCUGUGUCCAGCCUUCAUCAUCUUCGUUGUUGAAGUCACCCUCAAGGACAACAACCUCAAGCUUUGCAGAAGCCUCUGGACCAUAUACCACGGCGCGCCCAGUGUUGGCAUCAAUCAAGACGACAUGGAUUGCAGCACCCUGCUCUCCUUCAACUCUUCCUCCUGUGAAUAAGGGGAGAGAUAACCUAGACCUGAACUGUAACCGUAAGUUCCGGCCAUCCGGACCUUCAAUUCGCUUUGGAGAAGACCCAGACACAGACCCAGAACUGCAAACCAAUAACAAACCUCAGUGUAACUGUUACUUAACGUUGAAAAAGAAUGUUACUAAAGAUACAAUGAUGAGCAGUUUUCGAUUUAACCUUCCAGUAAGCCUAGCAGGUCCUAAUUUGGCCAAAGCACGUUCCACUUCCUCACUGACCUGCUCAAAAAGAAUCCUACAUUAACGCUUUUAACAAAGAAUAGCUCAUUUCUAAGCACCGGACAUAAAACAAAGAAUCCCCAUUUCUGGGCUGUGAAAGUGUUAAUACAGAUCCAUAGUAUUGAGUGACAAGAGUUACGAAUAGUGCACACACGUAAAAGCAGAGUAAAUGAUCCCCAGAAGAGGAAGAGAUCUUACAACUCGGCGGAGAAUAGGUUCCAAAGAAGAGCAAAGCUUCUGCAAACUGUCUACUUUGAGAGCCUCUACAAUCACACUGCCACAACAGUAAAAAAAAAAAAAAACACACACAAAGUUAGAAACUUUCUGAAAAAAUAACGGGAAGUAAAGGAGGAGAAAGAACCUAGCAAGAGCAGGACGUUUUCGCUCAGGCUGAUCACCAUCAUCACCGUUGUUACCAUCCAAACUCCUUUUAUUUCUAUUCAUGUUGUCAUUACCUCUAUCCAUUCUAUUCUAUUCUAUUCUACUUGUUCAUUUCUCCACACACAACAAUAACUUCCUAGAUCUGCAAAAUCACAUACAAGCAACCACACCAUUACAAUAUCGAAAGUCUAUUAAAUCAAAACACCCUUCGAACGUCUGAGAUCACAAGUGAAGAGACGAAGAGAGACACGUGAAGAAGGAAGUACCUGUUGAUCGAGACGGCGAAAUCAGAGAGUAUCUCCCCGAUUUAUAACCGUCGGCGUCACGAUUAGUAGUGAGCAACGGAAGGAAGUGGUUUUUAGUCUCCUCGUUUUGGUCUUCUUCUCUCUCUCUCUCGAUCGAUGAUUUGGGAUUCUUUUUGGGGUUAAUCUCUGUCUAAGUCAACUAUGGCGACUCAUUGGGAGCUUUGGCACUGGUCUCUACUGGGCUUUAAUCCGGUGCGGUAAGGUCUACCUGAUAGCUAUUGUUGUCGUUUUCAAUUAAAACAAAAACGUUGUGUAAUAGUGUUUCAUUAUUCACCACCCCUUGUCCAAUUCGAUCGCAGCCGCAGAUUGCAUUUACGGCCUUUAAGGUUGUACACUUUUCCCAAAGCCACUUUUUUCUUAUGUCGACCAAAGAAGUAUCAUAAGAUAAUUUUGUUUAUAUCACUGUGUGUAUUUAGCUUUUUCGAUUAUAAAAUUAUUUAAUUUCCAUAAACCAUACAUCUCGUGAUGAUCUAAAUCUACCUACCACUAAAUAUUUCAGACUCCCAAGUCCAAAAGUACUUUAAUUUGAAACAAAUACGGAGUAUGUUGACAAAGUAGUAAAGGUGUGAUUAAUAAUACAACAAAGAGCUAACAUGGAGAGUGUGUUUUGGGUUUUCAUGCUCUAUUGAAUUCUCCGAGCCUUUUGUGAAGUUUAGUGAGCAACCGGUGGCAAAUCUCCGGAGAUGUGCAAGGGCCACACAUGAGGUAUACAACGUUUCCCAGAGGACGCAUGAAAAUACCGUCUUCCCGGAGCAUCUCUAGAAGGGACUUUGCGUACAAGGAAGCAUACCUGAGAUGAGACAUGCCAAUGUAGGAUUGUUCAAUACAACGAGGAUAACAUAAACAGUUUCAAGAGAACAAGGAUAUAAUGUCAUUUGAUAGCUUACCCGGAAUUGGAAGCAUCUACUUUAAGUUCUAGAGCGAAAACGGUUCCUAAUACAACCACCCUUUCAACUGCACAGUGGGAUGAUAUUUGUAGCACCAGUUCUUCGUCCCACAGCUGCAAAACAAAAAACGCGUACGAUCAAGAACCAUUUAUUUUAGCAAAAACCAUUUAAAGAUGUUGCUAUUGACUACAUAUUUUUAUCAUAUGCCAUACUUUGUGUCAAGAUUUCAAGUAAUAUUAUGUUAAUUAAAGAAUAGGAAUGUCCUAGUACCUCUCUUAAGGUUCCUCUUUGUGAAUCGAUGUUAUGGUUAGUCUCUGGAUCUUUGAACCAUUCUAUAGCUUUAGCUGCUGUUGCGCAACCCAUAGCAUGAGCUGAGUAUGAGUGACCAUGAAGCAGGGCUUUAAGCUAUACAACCAAUAAAGAAAGUUAGAUGGCUUCAAGCAAGGAUCAAAAUCAGCUUUUGAUAAGAGCGAGCCUUCUUCAACUUUCGUUUUAUUACCUUUGAAUCUCCAGAAAAUGAAUCGAACACGGCAUCUGUUGCAAGAGUGACAGCCAAUGGAAUCAUUCCACCAGUCAGCAAUUUGGCGAAGCAAGCUAUGUCCGGUUUGCAACCGAGAAGGUCAGCAGUAGUCUAGGUAAAUUCAUGGUCACUUGUCAGCAGAAUGUUAAAGGGAAUAUGGUAAUAGAAAAUCUAUAACAAAAUGACAUCAAAUCAAGUAACAGUAACUACCUCUACUCCAAGACGCCAGAAACCUGUGAACACUUCAUCGAAAAUUACUGGAAUUUUUCUAUUACGGCACUCAUUGACCAGAACUCGUUGGAAAAGCGGAUCAACCAUGUGCAUUCCCCCAGCACCAUGAAUCACUAACGAUAAAAUUGCCACAUUCAUUAAAGACCAGGGAUGCUAAACCUUACUGAACUAUUUAAAUUCAUACUGAUGAACAUACUAACAUACCUGGUUCUAUUAUCAGUGCUCCAACGUGGGCGGAUUGUGAACUUUUGGAAUACUCUUGUAACUGCUCUGACACGUAUGCUGAAUAGAUUGUCGCAAGAACCGAUGUGUCUCUACUCUUGUCAAAUAUCUCAUCACGAGUGGUGAAGGCUGUUAAGAGUUCGGCAGUACUAAGUUAUACAGCUAAAGGGAAAAUAAUAGGAACUGUUGGAUGACAUAAGGAAGAAAGGGUGUUUUUACUUCCAGAUUCUUCCGAAGCAGUUUGAGGAAAACUUUCAGGGAGAGAGAGAUUCCAUGCUCCGUUGGAGAUAAAGACAGUAGGAGGGUCCAGAAACAUGCCUCUUCCAGUAUACCUACAAUGCAAUAGAUAAGCAGGGAAAGCUGAGAAUAAGUGGAUAAUAUUAUUAAUACUUGCAGAAGACAAUUCUGGUGGGUGCGUAAGAUAUGGAAAAAAAGAAGCUGAGUUUACAGAUGUAAUCUGAUUCAUCCAUAAGGGAUGACACCUCUAUCUAAGCAACAGUAUGGGAUGGUUGCUAUGCAGAAGAUGCUUAAGAAUAUUGGAAGCAAAAUUCUACAGAAAUGGUCAAGUAAGAAUCAUGACGACAAUAAUAAAUUCAUUACCAUGGCUGCUGGAGAAAGCCUGUGUAAGGUGAUGGUGCUUGUGCUUCCAUCGCUCCUAAAGUAUCCCCAUGGUAAGACCCUCGAAGAGCUAGGACCUAUAUUAGAACACAUCAAAAUUUAACUUUAGAACCUAAAAGACAAAUGACAAAACCACAUAAAUGAAGAUAAACAUGCAUAUGUAAGAAGUUGAGCUGCCACGAAAGGGGCAAACCUUGAAUCUUAGUAAGCAUCACAGUGGCAACAAUUGUUCAGUAACAGGUACAGUAAAGUGUCUUAGUAUCGUUGAGCACUAGCAAGAUGAUUGUACCUUAACAUCAACAUGCUUCUUCUCUUCCGCAUCCUCAGAAAGACCCAAUAGGGUCUCAUGAUCAACACAGAACUUACGAAAUGCCAUCUUCAGGGCAAUUUCGAUUGCUGUGGAUCCAUUAUCCGAGAAGUAUACUCGAGAAGCCCAGCCUGCAUGCAAAAACUAAUUAGCUCUUCCCACAAGUGAAACAAUGUGACAGAACAAGUUUAAAAACCUUUUCCCACUCCAUCUAAUAAGAGCUCAGCACAUUUCAAGGCAGGUUCAUAUACAUUCUCAGGGAACAUAACAUGCCCGAACCUAGCAGCAGUGUAACCCAUCUCUCUAGCAAGCUCAGCCUGAAACAGCCUAAACAAAUAUUCAAAAUAAACUUCAGAAGAUUCACCACAACGAAAGAUAAGCAUUAAGAUUUACGAUAGGGAAUGAUAGUUAUCAUAAAACUUAGAGAACAGUGGCCACAGAUGACCUGGAAAGCAGGAUCUGGCCCCUGUGUCCACCAGCUUGCACAAGCGUCAAAUUGCUGGGUAAUAGAAUUGUUAUCGGAAGCCUGAAAAUGAAGAAAGUCACACGUCUCAUUACUUGCAGCAAAUUCUAGAUGCACAUAUCUGAAACAAUAAAGCUACCAGUUUGAUUAGGACUCUUCUAAUUACAAAAUUAAAGGAUCUUCUCAUACAAACCUUGAAUACUGAAAAGUUUUCACCACAUCGGGAGUCUAUAACCGUCACAUUGUCUUCAGGCACAAGUUUAUGCUGAGUAAACGGCCACCAGAAAACCUCCCCUGCUUGCUUCGCCAUGCCGUUUAAUCUAUCCACUCUCUCCAAAUAAACUGAUACCAUUACCUCCUUCAAAGCCUUAAACACACCAUCGGAUUCAACAAACCAUUCAAUAAGAUCAUCUGAAGGGUCCUUGGGAACAGGUGGGAGCACAAGCACAGGCACCCUACAAUCCAAACAUGUACAAACAAGAAUAAAAAACCGUGAAAGGGAAACUGAAAGCAACUAAACAAGUAAAGGCACCAACUUGUUUCUUAGAUACGAAUUUAACGGAACUUCAUUAACAAGUCCAUGAUCCUCAAAAACGACAGCAGCAACGUCGUAUCCUCGAAGUUUUAGACUCUCAUAAGCAGCAAUAGUCCCGGAGAUACCACCGAGCCUACCGUCUCCAACGAGAAUCCCCGGUAAUCUAAAAGGCCUAAAGUUCAAAAAAAAAAAAGAUAUUAACCAAAUUUAUCUCCUUCUAUGAGUCCGAAUGGUAACAGACUGCAGAAGAAUAACUGCGGUGUGGUUCUAAUAAUAACAAAAACAUAUACAUAGAGAUUUUUGUUACUAUUAGGCGCCGUAGGAGAAGAAGAUAAAGUGUUAACCUGUAGAGAUCGCACUGAAGAGUCCCCGAUGGCCCCGGACUAGCAACUCCACCGGCGGUUUCCACCAAACAUAGAACAUUUGCUUUACUUCCACAUUCCAUCUCUUGCUCCACCAUCUUUAACACGACGGAGUCCUCAACCGUUGCGUGUUCCCUCUCCGCCGCCAAAUGCGGAGAGAUAGCCGCCUCCCAAGCGUACAGCGUCUUGCACAGAAGCUCCGGCGCGCCGGUGACAGUCUUCUCCUCCCUGAAAUUCAAAUCGCACAUCCCACUCUCGCUGACUUUGAUAUUCCGUCUCAUAGAUUCCGCUACGGGGAGCGAGGAACGGAGGACGGAGUUGGAGACGGAGAGAGGAAUCCGGCAACGGAGGGAGAGGGAGUCGAGCUUGGAGAAGACGAAGCGAGAGUCGGAGUCGGAAGGGAAGCCGGUUUGGAUAGGUUUCAAGUAGAGGAGUUUUGAGGAAUGUGCUGCGGGGGGAGAGGAGGAAGGUUGGUGGAGGAGGAAGGAGGAGGCGAUGCCGGUGGAGACGAGGGUUUUGCCGAGGGAAGUGUUGGCCGACCAGAUUAAGUAGGUAGGGUGGUUGAGAGGGAGAUUGAAAUGAGAAGGAACAGCGGUGGAGUUGAGCCUGAUGUGGUGGUGGCGUAAGUGGCGGAGACGGUGGCGGAGGAGUGUGGCUGUUACCGGCGACAUCAUCGGUGGGAAGCGGGGAGAGGAGAGGAAGGAGCUAAACUCUUUCGUUGUUUUUACGGCUCCCCUCGCGGAAUCAAAACUAGGGUGGACAUAUAAUUCUGUGGUCUGGUUCGGUAUACACGAUUUUUUCAAAAACAUUUACUUUUAAAAAUAUUUGAGAAACUAGGGUCAAUAUAAAUAUAUUUGGGUAACUAUCCGUUCACUGUAUUGGGAACUACUCAUUUUCUUAUAUUCUAGAAUUUAUCAUACCAAGCUAGCUUUUUAUAGAUAUCAGCUAAAGAUGUCACUCAAUAUAUGGUGUCAGAAUUGUUAUCUUCUAUUGUCCAUAGCAAAAAUUUAAGAUGAUUUUCUAAUUUAUUCUCUGUAUCACCAUUAUUUUUAUUUAUGUUCUGAUAUAUAAAAAGAAAAAAAAAAUUUCAAAAGCUAGAGAUACGGAAAAAAAUUAUUUUUACCAUUCCAACGAGAGUUGUUGAAGCGUUGAGAAGACUCAAAAGACCCAAUUACAGUAAGUUUUAAGCUUAGUACAUCUUUAAAAUGUUAAUGCGUUAAACUAAAUCUUGAUGAAACUAAUAUAUUACACAGAGCUUUAUCAUAUUAACAUAACAGGGUUUCUUUUUAUGCAAGAUGGAAGCAAUUCAGCUGUCGGGGCACAUGUUCACUACGGUGUAGAAUUUAUUAGUCAAAGAAUAAAAACAUACCACAAACAAAAGAGAAUCAAAAUCCAUUCUUGAAGCUUUUGAUCCCGAAGGUUAUUUGCUAACAGUAUCAUGUGGAAAAUCCACCAUCUGAGAAAUCAUUGAUGAAUCUAUUUUAUUUUUUAGUUGUUAUUUGGUAUUGUUUAUUCUGACCCCGAGAUUAUAUUGCAACUUUUUUAUUAGAAGCUUACCCCAUAAUUAUCAAUAGUCUAAUGCUUCUUUUAACCGGAUGUGUACAUGUAUAAUCUAAGUAUAUUGUAAUCUUAAUCUCUAACACUUACAACUACAUGUUAAUAACAUAUGUAGCAUCUAAAAUAGUGACGACACAUGCCUCCCAAGGUGAUCCCGCAUAACAAAAUCCAGACAUAACUGACGAAAUUGUUAGUAAAUAUUAUUGGCUUUUUUACACUAAAAAGUGGAGUUCCCAUACACUAAAAAGUGGAGUUCCCAAGUUACGCGUAACACAUAUGUUUAACACCUAAUAGGACUACAUAGACUCUAACAUGAACAAUUUACAAAUAAUAUGAAGCUCUUCACGUGUUCCAUAUGUUUAACACGUAACAUGAAGCUUUUCAUAUAUGAUUAAAUUCUUGGUGAAUGUCAUUAGCUUUUAUUACUCUAAAAAGUGGGGUUCCUAACUUAGACGUAUCACCUCUAAAUGUGUGAUAACACAUAUGUUUAACACCUAAUAGGACUGCAUAUACUCUAACAUGAACAAUUUCCAAAUAGGAAGCUAAUACGAAGUUUUUCAUGUGUUCCAUAUGUUUAACGUCUAACAUGAAGCUCUCCGUACUUGAUCAAAUUCUUGGUGAAUGUUAUUAGUUUUUACUUCUCUAAAAAAUAGGGUUCACAACUUAGACGUAACACCUCUAGAUGUGUGAUAACACAUAUGUUGAACACCUAAUAGGACUACAUAGACUUUAACAUGAACAAUUUCUAAAUACAAAGCUAAUAGGAAGCUCUCUAUAUGUUCCAUAUGUUUAACACCUCAUAGGAAGCUUUCCAUACAUGUUCAAAUUCUUGGUAAAUAUCAUUAGCUUUUAUUACUCUAAAAAAUGGGGUUCACAACUUAGGCGUAUCACCUCCAAAUGUGCAAUAACACAUAUAUUUAGCACCUAAUAAGACUACAUAGACUCUAACAUAAACUAUUUUCAGAUAGGAAUCUAAUAGGAGGCUCUCCAGAUGUUCAAUAUGUUUAAUACCUAAUAAAAACCCCUCUAUACAUGAUCAAAUUCUUGGUAAAUGCCAAUAAAUUACUCUAAAAAGUGGGGUUCACGAUUUAGACGUACCACUUUUAAAUGCGUGAUAUACAUAUGUUUAACACCUAAUAGGAUUACAUAGAUUUUACAUAUGUAAACUUCACUUCCUCAACUACUACAAUAAACUGCUGAUAUCAUGUAAAUCUUAGAGUAUUUUUCAUUGGUAUAUGGGAAGAGCAAUUGAAAACAUGUGGCUUAAAAGCAUCAUACCCUAGACCUAAUAGUAGUCCAGCAGUGUAUGAUACUGUACUUUAAGAUUUGCAAAGAUUGUUUAUCAUUCCUCUAUUUCCUAACGUGGCUAGUGAUGGGGGGCAUUUUCAACAGAGUUGAAAAUAAGCUACAUAACUUUUUGAUUUUAUCUAGUGAAUGAGGUAUUUUGCUAAUUUUGGUCCAAAAUUGAUAUAUCUAGCUAAUUGUCUCAAAAUAUUUUUUGGCGGUUUCAGACAUUGGUUAUAAUUUGAUGCAAACCGGAUCCGAAAGGAACUGAACCGAACCCGACCCAUAAAUUAGUAAAAUCCAAAUGGAACUUAUAAGUAUAAUACCGAAAAUCUGAACCAACCAAACUGAAUCCCACAGAACCACCGAAUAUCGAAGCUUAGUUUAUAACAUAUAAGUAUGUUACUGUUUUCAAUCCGUUAGCAUUACCGAAACUGAAGAUAGAAUACCUAGUGCACUAAGUGAUGUUUUUUCCUUUUUUUUUACUAAAUAUGUGAAUAUCAUAACUCUGAAUGAAAGUUUGUCAUAAAUUAUUUGUAUCAAGUCUGCUUCAGAAGUAAGAUUGAACAUAAAAACCUCAAAAAAGAAAAGAAAAAAUUAUUACGCUCUUAAAGUAUGUCUAAGCUAUUUUCAAAUAGUAAAACAACUUAAACUACAGAGCAACAGAGCUACAACAUCAAUUAGUUUCCAAAACCAAAGCCCAAACUUAAUUCGCCAGUGAAAACCUGCAAGACAAAGGGAUUAGGCUUAGGGACAAAGCAAAGACGAAGAUUAUGACCAAAAGCUACUCCAUAAAGCGACACAUAGAGGAGGUUUGGCAAGGCAUGUAUCGGCCAACGAAACGAAGAAACUCUGACAUACCCAAGAUCCUAAAACCAGACGGGAUAGAGAGCCUCCAAAGCAACAAGAGACAAUGACACAUACAGUUUACAAUGGGGAUACUCGGCUCUAACGCAUGUGGAAUAAAUGGCUCCCUAAUCCGACCACAAGACAUUGAAAAGGUCUCAAUAGGUACAACGAAUUCGUCAACAUAGAGCUUUCAUUUGGAAUAGGAAGAGCAUGAGAAGUCCUGAGACUCUUUAAAAAUAGGCGGAAAACAGCAAGAAUGGCUCCACCGAGAUGCCAUAGAAGCAUACCACAUUGGUUCUCAAUCUCUCUCACAAGUUUUCUGUCGACGAAAACAAAAGAUAAAACAUAAAAAUGAGUCUCUCGUUGGGUUUUUAGGUCUUCAAAAUGCGUCUCUCAAUGAAUAUGUGAUGUAGCGGAAGCUUAAUAGGAUAGAACUAGAAAUCCGUUGAUUCUGAGAAUACCAAAUAUUUAUCUACAUCAAUAUGGAAGUUGUUGCGACAUGUCAACGAUUGACCGCUAGUGGUGUGGAUCUUUCAGUCCUUGCCCUUGAUCUGGAAUGUAUGGGUCGAUCGAUCCUCACCAAUUUCCAGCUUAGGUCGAUCCAAUGCUCCAUUUUUCUCCAAAUUCCUGUUUAAUCGCAUUCUUUUCCGAUAAGAGAACCUGUACAUGUAGUAUAACUGAAGAACAACGAAAAAGACUGAAAAUACUAAAACACUUUGAAAAACUAAUCAUUUUUUUUACUGAAAAACGAGUUAAAACCUGAUAAAAACCCAAUACAUCAAUUGCUACAACUAACCACUUGUUGAAAUUAAGUAUGUGGUUAACUUUAUUAUUAAAGCUAUAAGAAAGGCUGACUUUCUAUCACACUGUACGUUUUCUAGAAGCUUGAACUGAAUGCUUAAGGCAUCAAGCAAUUAAUUGUUGCAGCAAAAUCAAUUCACGUGUUACAUUAGGUAUAUUUAUCAAAUGGGUGGGCUGACCAUUGGUUGCCAUUUGUCCAUGCGGAUUAUUAAUGCGGAUUAUCACAAGACAAUGGGUGUUAGUGGAUUUGGACUAUGUAGACGUAGUCGGUCCAAUGAUCACAAAAGCUAGGGUUUCUAAAAUUUGAUUUUCUGCCAAAAUCGCAAAAUCAAAAUUUUCUGCUAAAAUUUUAAUAUCGAGUAUUUUGCCAAAACCGUAAAAUCAAAAUUUUCCGCUAAAACAAAAAAAUUGAGUUUUUCUGGUCAAAAUCGAGUUUUCCUAUCAAAAUCGGAAAAUUGAGUUUUCCCCCUAAAAUCUUAAUAUCAAGUUUUCCACCACAAUUGCAAAAUCAAUUUUUUAUGCCAAAAUCGCAAAAUCAAGUUUUUCGCCAUAAUUGAGUUUUUUUCCCAAAAUCGAGAUUUUCACACAAAAAAACGCAAAACUCGAGUUUUCCGCCUAAAUCACAAAAUUGAGUUUUUUUGGCAAAACUACAAGACAAAUUUCCCGCCAAAACCGUAAAAACAAAAUUUCCCGCAAAAUCUUAUUUUCCCAUGAAACUAUAAAACACAAUUUUCUGCAAAAUCUAAUGAGUUAUGAAAUUAUGUAUGAACUUAUGCUACUUAUGUGGUCUUUUAAACUUAUAUAUUGUUGUACUUAUGGAUGAAUUUUAAUAUAAUGAACUUUCAUUUGUAUUUGUAGGCUGAUAAAUUGAAAUUUAAAAUUUUUUUAUAUGGUCCACUAUGGACUUCAUGGCAGUCCAUAUAAAUAUGGGUGUUAAUAGAUUUGGUCCUUAAUGGACAUGGUUACUCCCUGUCCACAAAAAAUAAAUAGACAAAUGGAUAUAUAUUAAUGGACGUGGACGAGCCCAUUUACAGCUCUAGCAUUAGGUAAACUGCAAUACCCAACCUCUCCAUUACGACUAAUCACUUGUUGAAAUUAAAUAUAAGGUUCACUUUAUUAUUAAAAACACCAAAAGAACACUACACAUGCAAACACUUUUUAUUAUUUUCAAAUUUCUUCCACAACGAUCACUUAGUGAACGGAAAAUCAUGUCACAUCACAAAGGCCAUCAUACUUUCUUCCGCUAGUGAACUGAAGAAAACAAUACAAUAUAUAGUCCAAUUAAAUUCUUCAGAGACAUAUCUUAUCAACGUAUAACGAUAUGAUAUGCUUUGUGAUUUUUCCACGGGGAUUGGUUACUCCUUCCCCUGCCUUAUAGGCAAUGCAGCCCGUGCGUGCACAGUCCAAAGCUGUCUUUAAAACUCUACGUGGUACAUCACUUGUCUUCAACAACUCCUCGUUCAUCAGCUUACGGGUCUUUUCAAUUAUAUUUUGGAAUUCUCUAGACGCUUCCCUUUCAGCAACCCCGUAUUGCCUCAUAUAACAAUUCAUUCCAGUAGUGACAUAUCCUCUAUUCAUGUCAAUCUAUUCAAGGUAAUUAAAUAAAUACAAAGUUAGUAAGUUAAAAAAAUUAAUGAAUAUUAAUGUAUCAUUACAUGAUAAAAAUUUUAAAUAAUACAUUCUUAUUUAUAUAUUUCAUUUUCAAGUACCUCAAAACCGGUUUUAUCAUUCAUAAGACGCAGCAUUUCGGCUAAGUACUGAAGGAGUUUAGAUCUGGAUUUCAACCAGCCAUAGCCUUGAACUUCAUCCAUAUCAUCUAUACCCAUCAAAGCGCUUGCGAGAAUUAUAAAUCCCCCAACCUCCACUUUACCAACCUCCAUGUACUUUUCAAAGCUAGGCACGUGACCCGCUGGUGCCAAUUUGGCAAGGUCAAGAUUGGAUUUCACGAAUAGCUUAUACUGCAACCAAUUGUUUGGACAUAUGUAAAAGUUGAGAUAUAUUUUUUAAAGAAAGUAAGGAAACAUAAAUCUUACAAACAUAGAUUAGUGAUCUAAGUAUAGGAUGGUUCCAAGUGGUCUAUGUUGUCGAUCCUAAAUAGGAUUAAGUUGAGUCAUCCCAAGAGGAUGUGUUACAAUAAAUCUCACAUUAGAAGUACGAGUAAUGUAAAUAUGUGUUUAAUUAGGAUGUCAAAUUGGUACUCUACCCAUGGGCGGGUCGUUUUCAAAAUAUAAUAGACCAUUUAUGAACAUAUUCAUUUAGACGUGGAUGUAAAUCAGUAAAAUCUAAAUUUGUGUUGCGAAAAGAUGGGCUUAAAUGGAUUGGAUCACAUGGUUAUUGGAUAGCCAAAACGUCUUAAAGCUUAAGUUAAAUUGUUUUGAGGAAAAUUAUGUUUUCCUGUGAAAACUGUAAAAUCAUGUUUUUCGAAAAAUAUAAAAUCAUGUUUUCCACCAAAAACAUAAAAUCAUUUUUUUUCGCCAAGUCUGCAAAAUCAUGUUUUCUCGUCAAAUUCACAAAAUCACGUUUUUCCACUAAAACCGUAAAAUCUCAUUUUGGUCAAACUCAUUUUCCCGCUAAAUCCAUGUAAUCAUGGUUUUUCGCUAUGUAAAAUUAUGUUUUUCCGUCAAAAUCAUAACAUCGUGUUUUUCCGCCAAAACUAUGAAAUCACUUUUUCCGUCCGAAGUCAUAUUUUCUCGCAAAAUCACAUUUUAAUGUUAAAAUGUAGUUUUUUUGGAUCUCACGGGUUUGGCCUUAUUUUGACGUGGUCUUUUUGGGUCUAUACCAUCAAUAUCAAUAAAAUGGGAUUGUCGAUUUAGACAACCCCAUCUGAACGUGGACACCCAAAUUGACAUCCUAUGUAUAAGUGACCUGAAACUUUAACAGGAAAACAUAGUAACACGAGUGAAAAUGUGCUGCUUACAAUGUGCUGGGUCUGAAAAUAAUGUUUGAUUGAUUGGUUACCUCAUCUCUUGUUUCUUCCACACUGUAAGAUCUUUUUUGUAGCCUCAAUUCUCGCUCACAGUCUUCAAAGACAUCCAGCAUAAAUUUAAACACAAAUUUUAAAAAACCAGGGUGAGAAUCCAUGGCAUCAUCAGAGCCCACCUGUACAUCAUAUCAUCAUCAUCGUCAUCAUGACCAUCACUGUUUCAGAAGAAUUUCAACAAGUAGUGUACCUUUCCAAGCUAUUUACAAGGCUUUCAAUCUCUGGAAGGGUAGCAUAUCUGUCACAUGUAUCAUCAAUAAUCAUUUCAGCCAUGUAAAACUUAGUCUGCAUAAUCCUCGCACGUGAGAAUUGGGGCUCGAAGAACAUCGCUAGUGAAAAGAAGUGCAUUUCCACGAUUACUUCUCUGUAGUAACGUGGCAAGUUAGAUGCAAAGUCAUAGUCCUUGAACCACCUUGCGUCACAAGUAUGUAUAGAAUAUGAGAAAAAUUUCCUAAAAGGGAUAUAUAUAUUUAUUUAUAUAAAUCAAUUGAAUCUUGGCGUACUUUAUAAGUAUUUUGAGUUCUCGAAGGUAAUGGAGCUGGAUUAAAUUGAAAUUGAGCUUGGCAAACUUGAGUAUCAUCUCGUCAUGACCAACCUCGUGUUCAUAGAACCGGAUAUAUUCAACUGCAACCAUUACCUCCAUGUUCCAACGCUGAGGUAGAGCAAGGGCAUUUUGUAUAUGCCUUAAGAGAUGAGACGGGAACAUAUGAUCUUCUGCUAUCAAGGCCAAGGUUUUUGAUGAAAAGCUCAAAGCUUCAUCCAUUAUGUAUUCAGUCGUCGUCCCCAAGUGAGCGGCUUCAUACAAGCUCAACAUACCCCUCACAUCCUUAGUAAGACAUUGCUUAAACUUCCCAUUGUCUUCUUUGAAUCUCGUGAAUACCUCUAUAUAUAAUUAUACAAGAUAAAUAUACAGUAAAAAUUCUAUAAAUUAAUAUUAUUGGAACUAUGAUAUUUAUUAAUUUAUAAAAAAAAAAAUUUUUAAAAAAAUUAAAUAAGAAAAAUAUUUGAUUUUAGUGUAUAUACAUUAAUUAAAUUUGUGAAAUUCGACAUUAAUAUUGUUUUUAUUAUAUUAUUUAGUGUAUAAAUAUGUUUUAAAGAAUUUAUAAUUACCAAAUCUCAUCAAAAUAUAUUAAAUAUUAAUAAAAUAUAAAAAUAAUUCCAUUGUAAAUAGUAUAAAACAAAAAUUAUAAUGGUUUGUUUGUACUUAUAUAAAAUGUACAUACAUAUAAAUUAUUAAUUUAUAAUUUUAAUGGAAUAAUAUAUACAUAUAUAUAAUUUUCUAAAAAUAUAUAUUAUUUUAUUAUUUUAUUAUUUGUGUUAUAUUUUGAACCGGCAUAACUUAAGAUGAGAAAAAAUUAUUAAUUUAUGAUGUUUAUUAAUUUAUUGAAUAUUAUUUUAUAGAGUUUCUACUGUAUACUAUUAGAAAAAAAAUCGGAUUGCCCAUCUUACAACAUUUUAAUUUAAAGAAGAAACAAAAAAAUGGUAUAUAAUUAACUAACUAUAUAACAUGGCCAUAUAUAUAUAUUACCGGAAGAGAUGUUGUAACCAUACGUCCUGAACACCCAGAAGAUGGUGGAAACAGUGUACAAGUCUUCUUCACCAGCCAUCAUCUCAUCUAUCUUCUCGAAAGCAUCUCUUACACUCUCCUCGAUCUCAUCUUCAAAAUGAUACGCAAGACCAAGGCUCACCAGCAAAUAGAUACUAAGGAUUCUCUUCUUCACGGAGUCGUCGCCUUUGGGAGACAUGAACAUUUUGCCCACAUUCGGCUUUAGUGCUUCUAUCUCUCUCUUAAGUGCAUCCAUUUCCUAAAAAAGAUUGUAAAUAACAAGUGAUAUAUAAUAUAUGUAAAUGUUUAUUAGACUCACGGAAACAUCAAUGGAAACAUAGUCGAAGUGAUUAGUCCAUUCAGAAGGUGACAUCUUCUUGAACGUUCGACCAUCACAAGUCGGUGUCGCCUUCAAAGAGACAUGCUUUGCUUUCUUACGGGGAAAUGACGUUAGUGGAAAGCGAGAGAUUUUCAUUUCCCGAAACAUUUUGGUUCGAGAAGGAAGAGAAAAUUGAGAUCCAUGUCUUGCUCCAAGAACUGCCAUGCUUUCUAUCUUCACCGUCAAUGUUAUCGGGUCGAUCAACUUAGGCUACCAAUUUUAUAGGCAAAAAAUGUGAUUGUUCAUAGCACUGUAAGGCCAAAUCAUCAUCACCAAACAUAUUAAAAACAAAAGUUACCUAAUAUAGAAUAAAAUAUCAUAGUAGGCUGACAAGGUAAGCCUUAUCAAAAGUUACCUACGCUGGAUAUUAUCCUCCCACACAAAUAUCAUAUUUUAAAGCUGAAAGCUAGCAGGUUGGGAGUGUAACACUCUUGAUUAGGUAUAUAUCAAAAUUGAUUAUUUUACCGUACAACAAUCAAAUAAAAACAUACUUGACAAACUAAAUAACUUUAACUAGAACGAAUAUGUUAUUAUAAUGUGCUCGAACACUCGCUUGAAAUUUUCAGAUCAAAUCAAAAAUUUUAAGAUCAAAUAUUCGAGAACGAGUUUUCUAAUGAUUCCACGUUAAGGAUGUGUAAUUUGAGUUUGAAACCAUUAGCUGGUUCGUCCCAGAUUAUGACUAAUAUUAUAUGGAACCCAAAUAUUUUUAUAAACCUUUAUUAUUCAUAUAUACUUAGGUUUAAAAAAACAUCAGACAUAUAUAAGGAGCACCACUUUCAACUUAUUACAUAUUACACUACCUCUAUAGUUUCCUGCAUAACAAAGAGUCUAAUGAACAACUGGUUUACUCACUGAGCCAAGAUUCCCUAACAAUUAAAUCAUUCUCUUAAUAUUCAUCAAUCAAGCUUCAAAGAUCGAAUAUGGCAAUGACUAUGCAGUUCAAAAUAAGUAAUCAAGUAAUCUAACUAUCCACUCUUCGUGAGUGGUUAGAUUAUCAUCGAUCUUUGAAGUUGCAUCUUAUCACUGGUUAUCCAACCCGAUACAUUUCCGCUUAUAUUAACUCUAGACAAAAAAUUCAAAAAGCCGACUGAAGAAGCAUAUCACUACUGUAUCUCACACGGUUGAGGAUGUUAGCUUUAUCAUAUGUGUCUUUGCAUGAUGCCUAGAAAUAAUUUUGGUACCGUCCUAGACAAGGCACAUCACUCAGUUGGAACCAAUAUAAAUCUCACAACACUCUAUCCAAGUGUCGGACCCUCACAGAUCACUCCCAACUGGAAGUUUGUGGCCUGCCGGAUUUUCUGUUUUAACAUGCUCAAACAUGUUAUACUCUUCUAGCCGAGUCCCGAACUAAAUAAGCAAUCACAUAAGUAUAUAAAUAUAUGCAUCAAAAUUUAAGAUUUCAGCUUUCUUAAAUUUGAAACUAUACUUCAAAAUCACAACAUAUAAAUUUGGUGCAGAGUUAUAGAAUUUCAUAAAAAUCCAAUCGAAUUUUCGGUUUUGGGAUAGACUGAUUUCUUACAGAAUAUGAAACUGUUACUUUUUUUUUAAAAAAAAAGCGCAUUCAUGAAACUGUUACUUGAUCCCAAAAUCGUGGAAUCGUGGAAUCAUGAAAUUGUGGUUUCGUGUCAGCGUCCGGAUACAAGAGUUGACACACAAAUUGUAUUUUGAGGAUUAGGUGCCAAUCUUUAGAAGAAGCUAAUGCUAAAAAUUGUGGAAUAUUUCUCAGAAAAAAAAUUGUGGAAUCAGUAUCUAGCAAUAAAAUAAAAUAAUUGAAGAAUCAUUGAUUUUGAUUUAACAUAAAAUUAGUGAACAAUUUCCUGACUAAAGAAAGCAAAGUUGCUUAAAAAAUAUUUGAUAGGUGCAACUUUUUUUUCUUAUACAGAAAGUUGAAUUAUCAUGGGUGGAUAAUUGUACUAAAUAAAAUAAAUGACAAAUUGGUUAACGAACCCGAACCCGAACCCGAAAGCAUUAUCGAUGCACAACAUCGUAUAACCAUCUCAUCUAGCUGACAAUAUAUAUUUAAACAUACUAAAUAUUUUGAUAUUCAAUAUUUUGUGGAUGCACAUACCACCAUAGUUGAUGUUUUGGCUUCGCCCUUGAUUAUAACUAGUGAUGCAAAACAUGUUAAAAAUCAAUACUAUUAAUAACAAAAACAAAAAUUCUUGAGAUUUACACUUAAUUUAACAAUACUAUUACAUUUUAUGCCGUUAGAUUUUGGUUAAUAAUCUCAGUGUGACUAGGGGAAUAUUCCCAAAAAAAAAAUUCUAUAAAUACUACAAAUAACGAUAGGUGGACCAUAAUUAGUGGAACGUACCACCAUAUUAUAUGACUACCAAAUAAAGAUUUUUUUGUCGCCGACUACCAAAUAAAGAUAAUGGGCUAAUAUAAAUAUUCUACCAUAUUUAUUUAUAAUAUUGUCCACAUAUCUACAAAUAUUAUCCCACGUUACUUUAUAUAGUAGAUUUAUCUAAAUAUUUAUAUUAUUUAUUCUUAUAUGUAUUACUAUGCUAUCUUCACCUUACAUUAUCAUCUAAUAGUAACUAUUUAAUUUUUAUAGAAUCAGUGAUGACAUUGUAAUGAAAACAUAUAAUAAAUAUAUUCAAAGUAUCAGAAUAAAAUUUAGAUAAAAUACUUAUAUUAUAUUCACUAAAUACAAACUAACAUAUUUCAGGACUUCGGUUUAUAUUAUAAACUAUAUUUAAAAUAGAAAUUCGUUUUAUAAAUAAAAUAACUAUAACUAGAAAUAUAUUUAUGUUUAUAUUUUAAAAUAUUUAUUUGAAUAAAAUAAUGUAAUUUUUAAUCACAUUAUAUGAUUAGUGUACAUAAAUUUGUAAUCAAUUAUUUAAAAUCUAAAAGAACCAAAUAAUUAAGUAAUUAUUGAUUGUAGAAAAAAAUUUAAAUUAAUGUGAUUUUUAUCGUAAAGUUAAAAUCUAAUACCUAAUUACUUAUUACUAAGAACUAAAAAUGUAUAAUACACAUGUAAAUAAUGAAUAAAUAUCACCAACUGUCACAUUAUUAUGUAUAAUAAAUAUUAUUUAAUUCAUGCAUUUUAAUAUAACUUACAUCUAAAUAGAUAACCAUAUAUAUAAAGACGGCUAACACUAUUGACUGUUUAAGACAAUAAAUAAAAUUAGUGUCGAUCAAAAUUGUUGUGUUUAAAAUAUGCAUAUAAAAUAACUAUGUAAUAUUUGUAAGUACUGUUAUAUACAUUCAAACAUAUAAAACAAAAUUUAAAAAUUAAAAAAAAUAUUUGUUUUUUAAGAAACACCCGCACAGGAAUGCAUGCCAAAAUAUAGUAUUUAUUUUUAAUAUUGUCCAAAUAUCUACAAAUAUAUCCCACGUUACAUUAUAUGGUAGAUUUAUCUAAACUAGAUUUUUUAACCGCGCUACGCGCGGAUAAGAUAUUAUAUGUAUUUCUCAAUUCUAAAAAUAAUGUAUAAUAUUGUAUUAUAUUAUUUAAAGAAUAUAAAAUAAGACUACAUAACAUAAAUAUAUUUUUUAUAUUUUCUUUGUGGAAAUCAUUAUGUUGUUUGAUUGUUGUACUUAAUUCACAUAUUUGCAUAGAUAUUUGUGAUAGAUGAAUAACUAUAUUUUUAUUAUCAGUAAAUAAUAUAUAUUUAUUAUAUAAUAUAAGAAAAAUGGAAUUAUUUACUUUUUAACAAACUUGUCUCAUGUUGGGGACUCGGUUAUAGACAUAUCAUAUUCGAAUGAAACAUUUUUACACUUAUCAAUCUUCUUAACAAUCAAGAAACAAAUUUGAAUAUCAAAACAAUAUCUCAUACGAUCUCUUUGUGGAAUAACUGCUCUGAAGAAAUUGAAUUUAUGCAUCAAAAAUGACUGAAAAUGGAUGUGCAUAUGUGUUAUCUAAGUCAGCUUUACAAAAAAUAUUUAUAGUUCAUAUAUCAUUUAUGUCCAUCCUAUUUUUUUUGUCCAUCAUUUCUUAAACAUCUUGAAAUAAGUAAUGCUAAUUAAUAAUAAACUUUUUGCUCACAAAAUAAAAAUCAAAUUUGCCUAAUUAUCGCUUAAUUUGUCUAACUGAUAUAUGUAUUUCUCAAUUCUAAAAAAAUAAUGUAUAAUAUUGUAUUACAUUAUUUAAAGAAUGUAAAAUAUGACUACAUAACAUAAAUAUAUUUUUUAAAUUUUCUUUGUGGAAAUCAUUAUAUUGUUUGAUUGUUGUACUUGAUUCACAUAUUUGCAUAGAUAUUUGUGAUAGAUGAAUAAAUAUAUUUUUAUUAUCAGUAAAUAAUAUAUAUUGAUUAUAUAAUAUAAGAAAAAUAAAAUUAUUUACUUUUUAAACAAACUUGUCUCAUGUUGGGGACUCGGUUAUAGACAUAUCAUAUUCGAAGGAGACAUUUUUACAGUUAUCAAUCUUCUUAACAUUGAAAAAACAAAUCUACAUAUCAAAACAACAUCUCAUACGAUCUAUUUAUGGAAUAACUACUCUGAAGAAAUUGAAUUUAGGCAUCAAAAAAGACUGAAAAUGGAUGUGCAGAUAUGUUAUCUAAGUCUGCUUCACAAAGUACUAUUCAUAGUUCAUAUAUCAUUAAUGUCCAUCCUAUUUUUUUGUCCACCAUUUCUUAAACAUCUUGAAAUAACUGAUGCUAAUUAAUAAUAAACUUUUUGCUGGAAAAAAAAUCAAAUUUGUCUAAUUAUCGUUUAAAUAUUUUAUUAGUAUGGUCUAAGAAGCUUUUAAGUGAUAUCAUAGUUUAAUUUAUUAGUUUUUUUUUGUUAAUUUUUAGAGGUUUUUGUAUUUAAGAUUUUUUUCCAUAUUAAGCUUCUAUUUCUUUCACAGAAUUGAUAUAUAUAUAUAUAUAUAUAUAUAUAUAUAUAUAUAUAUAUAUCAUAAAAAUUACCAUCAAAUCAGUUUUACUUAUUUAUUAUUUUGUUUUAACGAAAAUACACUUUUUAAAUAAUUUAAUUUAAAAUAAAAUUAUAUAUUAAUUUGCUGUAUUUUAACAAUUUCAUUGAUUUAAUUAAUUUGCUUUGGUGGAUAACUUAAAAAGUUUUCAUAUGAAUCGGGGAAAGCAAGUUUAUGUUGUUAUAUUAUAUUUAUUUUGUGUAUAUAGAAUCUAUAUAUAAUGCUAGUGUAAUAAAGAAAGAACAUUAUUUUUUUGUAACUUCAAAAAGAUACAUUAUUACAAUUUGAAAUGAAUCAAAAUUGAAUAAAAUGGUAAUUAAAUAUUUGUAAAUCUAAUUGUUUAGUUGAAUUCUCAUGAAAAAAAAAUCGAUUGGUUAAACAAAUGUUUCAAAAUUUGUUGUAGUAUUGUUUUGUCUAUAAAUUAUAAAAUUUAUUGAAUUAAUAUAUUUAAUUAUUGCAUCCUUAAAUAAUAUUUUAUUUUUUUUUUUUUUUUUUGUCAUCAAUUUUACAGACUCAUAUUGACUCUGUGAACCAAACUGGGAGAUCUUGAUCCAUGUGAACUACAAAAGACGUUUCCUUCCUAGCACUGCGGGCUAAGCUAUCCGCCUUCUUGUUCUGCGUUCUUGGUACAUAGAUAAUCUCUACUCGGAAAAAACUCUCUUUCAGGCUGUUUAUAUCUUCCAAAUAACUUGCAAAUGCUGGCCAUUCUUCUGGUUCUGAAAUAAUAUUUUAUUAAGACAUUAGAAAAAUAUGUUUUGAGUUGUUUUGUCAAAAUUGUACAAAAAUCUAUGCUUUUUCAUAUUUGUAACUUCAAAAAGAUACAUUAUGACAAUUUGAAAUUAAUCAAAAUUGAAUAAAAUGGUAAUCAAAUAUUUGUAAAUCUAGUUAUUUUUUUUAUCUUGUUUAGUUGGAUUCUCAUGAAAAAAAAUUGAUAGGUUAAACAAAUGUUUCAAAAUUUGUUGUCUUAUUGUUUUGUCUAUAAAUUACAAAAUUUAUUGAAUUAAUAUAUUUAAUUAUUGCACCCUUAAAUAAUAUUUUAUUAAGACAUUAGAGAAGUAUGUUUUGAGUUGUUUUGUCAAAAUUUUACAAAAAUCUAUGCUUUUUCAUAUUUGUCACGAAAAUUUAUAUGUUAAACUUACUUUUACAAAAUUCUUAACUUUGUUACGAAAACAAAAAUCUAUGCUUUUUCAUAUUUGUCAACGUUCUCACACUUUCUAAGAAUAUAUUAGCUUAGUCACUUACUUAUUUUUUUUUUACAAAACAAAGUAUCGGAGUCUUGAAAGUUGAAUUAAUAUUAUUGUAAAUGUACAUAAGAGUUUGUGAUUAUAUACUUAGUGGUUCUUGUAUAUGUGUCCAAUAAAGUUUCAAUGGCUUAGUGGUAACUGUCAUUUAUAUAUAUCAUACUAACCCGGGUUCGAUUCUCACCUUUGCAUUGUUUUUUUAUUUUUUACGAAAAAUAAAUGAGAUGACAUGGCAAUUUCGGGCUCUCUGAUUGGUUGAUUUUUCUAUCCUAUGUGGACACCUUCUCCAUGGCUUAUAUUGCCCUUUUAGUAUAGUAUAGAUAUUUAUAUUAUUUAAUCUUAUAUCUAUUAGUAUGCUAUCUUCACCUUAUAUUAUCAUCUAAUAGUAACUAUUUAAUUUUUAUAGAAUCAGUAAUGACUAUGUAAUUAAAACAUAUGAUAAAUAUAGUCAAAGUAUCCAAAUAAAAUUUAAAAUAAAAUGUUUAUAUUAUAUUCACUAAAUACAAAAUAACAUAUUUUCAGGACUUUCGGUUUAUAUUAUAAACUAUAUUUAGAAUAGAAAUAUGUUUUAUAAAUAAAAUAACUAUAAAUAUGUUUAUAUUUUAAAAUUUUGUAUUUGAAUAAAAUAAAGAAAUUGAAUUUACCAAUAAAUGUUUUUAAAAAAAAAUGGAAACGAUAGAAACUCACGAUUCUGAUUAAAAAAAUGCAAAAAUGACUAUUUGUCAUUUGAUGUUAGUGAUUACUUGUUUAAUUUCAUUUUUGUAUACUCCGAUAACUAUUUCUUGACUUAUAUUUUAAUAUUACCUUUUGAUAUUUGUUGUAGUAUAGAAAAACUCUUCUAUUAUAACAUAGAUUUUUGUUAGAUUUUUGUCAUUUUAUAUUCCACGUGAAUCCUAUGUUAUAUCGAAACGGAAGCGGGUACGUGGAAGCGGGUACGUGGAAGCGGAAGCGUAUGGAAGCGCCGAAGCGAGAUUUUAUAAAAAAUUACAAAGCGGAUACGUGUUUGAAGCGUAUAUCAAUAUAUGCAUAUAUAUAUAUAUAUAUAAGAAAAAGUUUUAAAAAAAUUUAGGACUAAAAAUUAAAUGAUUUAAAUUUAAAAUAAUACGUAUAUUUAUUUAUAAUAAUUUUGAAAUGAUUUCAUAUUAAAACUGUGAAAAUACACAUAAAUUAAGUUUAAAAGAAAUUAAUAUAUUAAUUAUUUUUAAUACUUCAUAAAUAAUUAAAAAAAAAUAUUUGAAUAUAUGCUAUAUCUUUCAUAAAACCUCAAUGCAUAAAGAUAACUUAUGUUAUUAGUUUUAAUAUUUGAGUUUUGAGUUGAAUUAACUUAAGAAUUUUGAGUACUCUUCCCAAUCAUGGAGUCCAUAAUAUGUUCCUGAAGAAGAAAAAGAUUAUGAGAAAAGAAAUACAAGAAGUGGAAGAGAAAAGAAUAGAAAUGGAUGGAGCUGUUUCGAGUUAAAGCAUUGAUGAUGCUAAGGAGGUUGAAAUUGAAUUAUGGAAUGUAGAGAACCAUCUGAAGGAUUAAAUCCUUAGAUAGAGAAAUGGUUUCAGAUCUGGUGACUGGAAUUUGAAUGUCAUGAGGGAGAGUAUAUGGUGAUUGCAAAGCCAAUAAAUAAGACUUUCGAAUGACUUUCGAGUCUUGAAAAAAUUAACGAACCGUCUGUCGCAUGGAAUGAAACCCACGGACUGAGUGAAUUGGCGUGGAAGGUCCAUUAACCAUGGGCAGUCAGGACGUUACAAGUUCAUUGAUGAUCAUAGUCAUUGUCUUCACAAUUUUGCUUCUCUUGGUCGCUUUUCAAGCAGUACAUGCAGACUAUUACGGUCCAAGGCCACCAGUUACCUACCCCCUACGUCCCUAAGCCAUGGAUGAUGGAUCCCACUUCUGGGAUCCAAGCCUGUUUAUCGGCCUCUUACUACUUCGAGACUGCUGGCUAACUCCAUUGCAAAACUGUUCUUUUACCCACAUAACGCUCUUCGAUCUAGAUUAGGUAUUUAUUAUUUGUGAACAUUGUUAAUCCUAGUUGUUGGCCGGCCUUAAGAUUUUGGGGACUGAAAAAAAUUUAGUAAAAAAAUUGAUAAUUUUUAAUAAUAAAUUAGAAAUUUAUACCUAUAUAAUUUUCUUCAAAAAUAUUAGGGAUCCUAGACCAAUGUUUCAUUUGACUAUACCCAUGAUCAGCCCUGGUCAGCUGAGACCAGGUUGGAGUCCUCCUAGUUCGUUUAUGGUUGGAUACUGUAAAUACCUUGAAUGAGGUAUUUCGGUUUCCAGUGUUAUUCUUGGGGUUACUUUUACUUUUACAUAUAGUGUAUAUAUGACUUUACCAAUAUUUCUCCUAUAUAUUGUAUGAUGUUAUUCUUUAGCAGAAAAAGAUAAUGUUAAUGUUAUUGAUUUUGCUGAAAAACUUAUUUGCUAUUAGGUUUGUCUCCACUGGUUUAGGAUGGUAAGCUAGGGAGCUACGCGACAUGGUGGGCGAACCAGAGGCGUUAGAACUGCUUGUUGACCCAUUCAACUGGCCCAUAUGGUAAGAACAUGUUCUAGGAAGUGGCUCGAGCUGGGCACCAGGAUUUGCGGUGCAUUCAUGGAUCGUUGAAGGCAGCUCCUACAACUUCAACACCAACUCGUGUGAUGGAAGUGAAAUGUGUGGUCACUACACUCAGAUAGUGUGGCGUGACACCAAAAAGCUCGAGUGCGCAAGUGUAGUCUGUGAGAACGGUGCUGGAGUUUUCAUCACUUGUAACUACGACCCUCCGGGUAACUACGUUGGCCGAGAAACCUUACUAAGGGAAAGUCUAUAAACGGUUAUUCUUUUGGUACUUGAUUUCAUUAAAUUGCUUCACGUUUUCUGUUUCAAUAUAUAUAUAUAUAUAUAUCUGUGAAAUCAAAAUUUCCGAGAUAUCUAAUUUGUAGGGAUCAUUGUUUUUUGUUGUUGAUGAUGUUUCUAAUGUCCUAAUGGUAAUGUUCUCAACUUUUGUUGGUUGGCCUUAUUAUGUAACCAUCUUUAAUGAUUGUGUAAGUAGGGAUCUAUAUAUAUAAAGAAAUGUUCGUCUCUCUCCCGUGAAGCCACGUCAUCAAUUCGUGCGUUCUGGGAGUGACACGUGUCCCAUUUUUAUAUUUAGGGCCAAAAUAAAUGAAUGCAGUUAAGGGUAAUUGAACCCAACACCUCUAGCACUGGUAAUUUUCUUAGAACCACUACGCUAAAGUCACUUUUAAAAAUAUGUGACCGCAAAAAUAUUUAUUAUCGUGUCAGCUGGAAGCCCAUGUUUCUUCUGCUUGUGGCCAGGGCCGACACUGAACUGACGUCAAGAUGAAGAUCGUGAAGUUAAAAACUUUGCUCCAAACAGUUUUGCAAUGUUUCCAACCUUUAUAACUUGAUGCAUAUAAUAAAUAUCAAAAUACAUUUGUUAUACACGCUUUUAUUAGUUUUGCUUUUAAAAGAAAGUAUUUACAGUUAUAAAUGUUUUGUGCCAGUGAAGUAAUGGUUGAAAAAUCUCUAUACAUAUGUCAUUUUAAAAUAACACUCAACUUCUAUAUAUAGUCAAUACAUAUGUCCAUGUUAUAUUCUAGACUAAAUAUUUUAGGGGUGUUCAAUCCGGAUAUCGGUUCGGUUUCGGUUCGGUUAUUUUUGGUUUUCGGUAUUUCGGUUAGUAAAAUAUAACUACCAUUCUAAAUCCAUAUUUACUUCGGUUCGGUUCGGUUUAUAUACCGUCGGUUUUCGGUUUAUUCGGUUUUAUACCAAAAAACAUAAUUAUUUUGUUUGAGAUCAUAUUAUAUGAAUUUUAGUCAUAUUGUCAAUACAGUCAUUUAUUAAAAAUAUAUUACAUGUUCAAAUAAAUGAACAAAAAAGUAAAAAUGCUUCUACCAUCAAAUAAAAUAAUCAAAUCUAUAACUAAAAUCAAAGCUUGAAAUUUUAAAAAUAAAAAUAUGAAACAAAACAGAAACAUGAAAGAAAAGUUUUUUCAUUCUUCCAUAUUUAGUGUUCAUUAAAGUCAUGCUUUUUCAAUUGAAAAUUUUUCAUCAAAUUUAUAAUCUUCAUAUUAAUUUAGUGAAGACUAAAAUAAAUCAAAAAGAUCGAAAAAGACUUAAAAAAUAAGAUGUUUGAAUUGCGAUGUAUUGUUAUUUAGUUAUAGUUCAAGUGUUUUACAAAUUAAAGUUUUUUAUUACUAUAAAAUUAUGGUAAUAGUUAUUAACACAAAUUUAACUUAUAUAACAAAUAGAUUUUCAUGUAUUGUUAUAAAAUAGAUACAUAUUUACAUGUUUCUACUUUUAAUCGGUUUUUGUUCGGUUUAUUCGGUUUAAUCGGUUAUAUACCAAACCAUAUCCAAAUCCUACGGUUUUUAUAAAAUUAUAUCCAUUCGGUUUAUAUGGUAUAUACCAAAACCAAACCAUAUUGUCUAUUUCGAUUCGGUUCGGUUCGGUACGGUUCGGUUUUACCAUAUUGAACACCCCUAAAAUAUUUUCUCUUUUAAAAAUAUAGAAUACAAUUUUUUAGUCUACAAGCAAAUGUUGUAGAGCAAGUAUGCAUUAUACAAAAUAAUAUAUAUUUAAAAUUCAUACACAAAAACAUAAAAGUUGUUAUAGGCCUCUUUUUGACACAUGCACACUCCACUAUGAAUAAGAAUUAAAAAAAAACAUUAUUGUCAUCAAACUUUAUCACAAAUCCACAUUUGUACAUCUAUAAUUAUGAGUUGGACAAUUAGUUAAUUUGAUACAAUAUCAAAGUAAGAAUAAUCGAAAAAUAACUAUACCACCGCAUAUUAAUAAGUAAGACAUAACAGAUAACCAAAUUUUUGAAUCUUAAAACAAAUUUUAACUCGAGCAUUUAGUGAAUAUCAAAUUAACUAAUAUCCCGCCUGUAGGGCGGGCCGACCCUAGUAUAUAUAAAUAAAACGUUUCCAUGUUUACAAAUUACAAGGAUAAAACUGCAUAGUUAAACUGAAGACGAUGGAAAAUCAGACUCUUGACUCUAUAUAAAAAUCUCGUGCUCUUGUGUGCCCAUCUGAAAGUUCAUGUGCAAAGGAAAGAAAGCAAAGACCCAACAAGAGAUGCGCGUGGUCACACAACACUGAAAGCACGUGAGGAGAACUUGUCUGCAGUGUUUGGUAAGCAACCAAAACAGUGAAAACAGAGUACACUCGUGUGCGUACGGGAAAUAAAGUUGUAAUGAUUAGAGUCCAUAUGUCACAGUUGUGAGUGGAAGAUUCGCAACUGUGCCACCGCAAUCACAAUAUGAGUAACUGGGUUUUGUGAUUGGCCUACAUAUUAUUAUACUCGAGUUAUUUAUUUAUUUAUUUUUCUUAGAAACAAAAUACAUCAUUUUACACCCUGAAUGAGAACCCCUUUUCUUUUUGGAAAGGGAACCCUCUAGGAUCACCACAAGACAUGAAUUACUUUUUCAAUCCAACCUCUACUGUCUUCAUGUCACUGCAACUUGAAUCAGUAAAAUAUGCUUUAUUUGCUUCGUAUAUUCAUCAUCUGUGUCACAUCACUUUUCUUGACAAUCUAUGGCUCUUAGCUUACUUCGGCUGUAAGUAAGCUAGAUAAACUCUGGCAAAACUGUGAAGUGGAAAAGGAGCCAUUUCAUAUCAUAAGAUGACUCUAUAAACGUAUUAAAAAAAAAAUUGUUGAAUGGGUCUAGUAACUUCUGAUCAGUUUACCUCCAUGUAUAGUCUUAACUCCCCUGCGGAUUUUGAUAUUUCUAUUACACAAUUGGUUGGAGUCACCUCGAUCACCUCUGCUGAUAAUAAGUCAUAAGAAGAUCUUGAUCUUAUCUCUUUUGGCUGAAUCUUAACCUGGUUAUUAAACAACAACAAAAGAUGCAUAUACGAGAUAUUCAGCUAAACUUGAGAUCUAUAGAAGAAUGUGCAGUAAACUAACUUAUAUAUAUAUAUACAUAUAUAUAUAGUGUACCUUGAAGUGCUUUAUUCUUUCAACCGAUAAACUAACAUCAAUUGCAGCAGCUUCAAUCUUCUUGAUUGUUUCUUGUGCUGUGUUCUUGGACCCAAUUCUUGUUUUAUAUCUCUUAUCAUCCUAAAGAGAUAACAAUAAGGAACAUUUUCAAGGGUUAGUAUCUUUUUGUUAAAUGAGUUUAAAGAUUUGACCAGAAAAGUUAUACGUCUUUUACUUGUUCUUCGAAGAGACCUGACAAAUCUAGAUCACUAGACAUUGCUAUUAUCUGAAACGCGUUUAUGAAAUUUGAAGACGCGGUUGCUGCAUUUAUCUCCGCUACAUUCUCUUUGACUGAGUCUGAAACUUGAUGAUAAGCUGGUGUAUAACCUAACUUGAACCAAGAAUCUUGGAUGAUUAUCUCAGCUAGUGUUAUACGCUGCAUCCAAAUAUUCACAAACAUUGUUACUCAUUUUUGGAUUAUCGUUGGCUAAUAUAAUAGAGUUAUGGAGAUUAUCUCUUGUUAUAUACCGUUUGAGGAUUUGGGUCAAGAAUGUUAAAGAUUAGCCUCUUUUGCUCUCCAGUGAAACCAGGUGGGAACGUGUAAUCUGCUCUGAGUAUCUUCUUAUACAAGAUAGGAAGAGUAUGAUCAUCGAACGGUGGAUAACCAGCAAGCAACUCAAACAGAAUCACUCCACAAGACCACACAUCCACUGCUGCUCCUGAGUACCCUUUGUUCAUAAUAAGCUGUUUUCAUUAACAAAAAUCAGCUUUUACACAUUCAUUGAUUAUGAAACGUCAUGUCAAUUAAUUAUUAUUAUCAUAAAUAGUUUUACCUCAGGUGCUAUAUAGCAUGGAGAUCCACAAGCUGUAGAGAGCAUAUCCCCUGACUGAAAUAAAUAACCAAAAACUUAUUUAGAACUUGAUUGUUUCAAAGACACUUAACUGGUUUAACAAAUAGAAAAUGAUAUGAUCAGAAUUAGGAAGUGUUACUUUAGGAACUGCACUUAGUCCAAAGUCAGAGACUUUGAGAUUACCCUUUGAAUCUAUUAGCAAGUUUUGUGGCUGCAAAAUCAAAGUAUCCACAAAGUUAAUAAGUAAAACAGAGAGAUUGCAAAAAAAAAAAACAUAAAGGUUAUACAUCUUCUCUUACCUUAAGAUCUCUGUGGUAAACUCCUCUGUUAUGACAGUAGUCAACGGCAUCAAUCAAUUGUUGGAAAAGCUUUCUUGCAUCUGAUUCUUUCAUCCUAUGUCUUUCAAGUUUGUCUGAAAGCUGACCACCUGCCACGUACUCCAUCACAAUACAGAUCUUUGUCUUGGUCCCGAUCACCUCGUGUAUCUGUACGAUGUUGGGAUGGUUAAGAAGCUUCAUAGUCCUUAUCUCUCUCUUGACUUGAGACUCUAGACCCUUUUGGAUAACCAGAGACUUGUCUAUGAUUUUGACAGCUACGUAGGUACCAUUGGUCGUGUCGUAACCAAGUUUCACUUUUGCGAAGUUCCCUUCUCCGAUCGUCCUUCCUAUCUCGUACUUGCCGAUCUUCUUGGUCCCAAACAAACCCAUCUCAGAGAUAGAGAGAAAGAAUAAGAAGACGAAGAUGUUUAUGAGCUUCGAAGGGUCGUAUUUAUGUAUGAAAAGGGAACUUGAAACCAAACUAAUGAGGGCUGUAAGAAGAGUUGGAUUCUCUUGGUAGAUCAAAAAUUUGACUUUUAGAUUAUAGAUAGCGACAGUUUUUUUAAAAAGUAAUCAAAGAUAUAUUAUUGGUGUGUUGUAUUUGACCGCUUGGCUCGUGAGUGAGUGAAUCAUAGCUCGUGAUUCUCGUGGUGAGAAUGGGUCAUCAUGCUCUACGAGCCGAUAAUAAACAAUGCUUUUUGUGUGGAUAUAUAUCUUCAUAGAGUUCACAAGCUGGUAGCUAGGUGGAUUCGAUUGUCAUUACUGAAUUUUAUUUUAUUCCCCUCUCCCCCACACCUUUAAAUUUAGAAAAUUUAAAAAUAUAUGUCUCACAAUUGGUGGGAUGAUAUCUGAUUUUCGAUGAUUUCCUUUGAUUUUCUAUCUUCAUUAAAUUCUCAUCGUUAGCCAAAAAAAUGUAUUUCAAGUGUUUUAAUCUUUUAGUACGUUUUAAAAUAGAAAUACAUCCUAUUGACGCCAGUUUUAAAAAAGUUUUUGUCGGCUAUUUCAUUUUGUGAGGAUAUUUGUCCACAGGUUAAUUACAUUGUUUUUAUUGAUUCUAGAAAAGAAAACAUUUUAAACUGAAACGUACAUAAGAUCUGAACAUCAGGAUAUUUUCUUAGAUGGUCUAAAAAUGUUGAUUUGUUUUCAUGCGUUAAUGCAAAAUGUUAGCCAUUAUUAGGCCAAAAAUUUAUUUCCACUAUUAUGCGAUAAUUUUGAAGUUAUGAGAUCGAUAUGUUUAUACUUUAUAUGUCGCUGGAUUCCGACCCGGAGGUGGGACGAAUGUGUUUCCGCGUUUUCUUGUUUAUCAUCAUCCCAUACGGAAAGCACCGACGAAGUCUGUUGUUACGUAUAAUUAUUUGUUAGUUGAUUGAAAGCUUACGUUGUGGCCGGUUUUAGCUCGUGAACUACGUUUAUUAUUUAAUUAUACAAAGUCUGAUUUUCAUCGUCGUGCUGUCAGUAUGUGAUGAUAAUGCUCUAAAGAGUUGGAUUCUCUUGCGGAAUCAAAUGUUUGACCUUUAGAUGAUAAUGGCUGUUAUCAAGUAUUCAAAGAUAUUAUUGGUUUUAUUUGACAGAUUGGCUCCACGGGUUCGUGACUGGUAGCUCGUGAUUAAAAUGUAUCAUCAUGUUUUAAGAGAUUUUUUUGUAUUAG
rnacentral:lncRNA from 1 species